UACGUAGGGUGCAAGCGUUAAUCGGAAUUACUGGGCGUAAAGCGUGCGCAGGCGGCUAUGCAAGACAGAUGUGAAAUCCCCGGGCUUAACCUGGGAACUGCAUUUGUGACUGCAUGGCUAGAGUACGGUAGAGGGGGAUGGAAUUCCGCGUGUAGCAGUGAAAUGCGUAGAUAUACGGAGGAACACCGAUGGCGAAGGCAAUCCCCUGGACCUGUACUGACGCUCAUGCACGAAAGCGUGGGGAGCAAACAGG
rnacentral:rRNA from 1 species